UGGCUCAGGACGAACGCUGGCGGCGUGCCUAACACAUGCAUGUCGAACGGAACUGUUUUGAAAGAUUUCUUCGGAAUGAAUUUGAUUUAGUUUAGUGGCGGACGGGUGAGUAACGCGUGAGUAACCUGCCUUCAAGAGGGGGAUAACAUUCUGAAAAGAAUGCUAAUACCGCAUGAUAUAUCGGAAUCACAUGAUUUUGAUAUCAAAGAUUUUAUCGCUUGAAGAUGGACUCGCGUCCGAUUAGUUAGUUGGUGAGGUAACGGCUCACCAAGACCGCGAUCGGUAGCCGGACUGAGAGGUUGAACGGCCACAUUGGGACUGAGACACGGCCCAGACUCCUACGGGAGGCAGCAGUGGGGGAUAUUGCGCAAUGGGGGCAACCCUGACGCAGCAACGCCGCGUGAAGGAUGAAGGUUUUCGGAUUGUAAGCUUUUUUUAUUAAGGACGAAAAAUGACGGUACUUAAUGAAUAAGCUCCGGCUAACUACGUGCCAGCAGCCGCGGUAAUACGUAGGGAGCAAGCGUUGUCCGGAUUUACUGUGUGUAAAGGGUGCGUAGGCGGCUUUGCAAGUCAGAUGUGAAAUCUAUGGGCUCAACCCAUAAACUGCAUUUGAAACUGUAGAGCUUGAGUGAAGUAGAGGCAGGCGGAAUUCCCCGUGUAGCGGUGAAAUGCGUAGAGAUGGGGAGGAACACCAGUGGCGAAGGCGGCCUGCUGGGCUUUAACUGACGCUGAGGCACGAAAGCGUGGGUAGCAAACAGGAUUAGAUACCCUGGUAGUCCACGCUGUAAACGAUGAUUACUAGGUGUGGGGGGGUCUGACCCCUUCCGUGCCGGAGUA
rnacentral:rRNA from 1 species